UACGAAGGGGCUAGCGUUGCUCGGAAUCACUGGGCGUAAAGCGCACGUAGGCGGACUCUUAAGUCGGUGGUGAAAUCCUGGAGCUCAACUCCAGAACUGCCUUCGAUACUGGGAGUCUUGAGUCCGGGAGAGGUGAGUGGAACUGCGAGUGUAGAGGUGAAAUUCGUAGAUAUUCGCAAGAACACCAGUGGCGAAGGCGGCUCACUGGCCCGGUACUGACGCUGAGGUGCGAAAGCGUGGGGAGCAAACAGG
rnacentral:rRNA from 1 species